rnacentral:lncRNA from 1 species
GUUUUCUAAGAGUUGGAGAGGGAAGGGAAGGAGGCAGUGGAUGGCCAGUGUGCCUGAAAACUGGAAUUAGAUCGGUGAACUGAGAGGAUUGGUUUCUGCCCUACGUUGGGUGAAGAGGGGCAGUCCUCAUUGCUAACAGCCGCAGGUUGGUGUAAUUAACUAACUUCCGUAGGCAAUGCCCGGUGUACAUCUUGAAAACCCAUCAGAUGGGGUAUUUCUCACUGACAUCAGCUUUUAAAGGGAGGAGGGCUCAUAGUUGUAUCACAGCUGCAGUACUUUUCUUUAAGGCAAGAAACAGUUUAAAUCAGAGAAAAUUUCACAGGAUUCUAGAUCGACUACUUUUUUCAUCUAGUUCUAUUAUUUUGACCUUAUGGCCGUUUUUUGUUUGUUUAAUGGCGUGAAUUAAAGUGUGACAUUUCUGUCCAUCUUUUCACGUACAAAAUCAGCAUUCGUUAAUUCAGGUUAUGAAAAUAAUUGCUGCUUCAACAAAGUGAGGCUUAAAAUACCACAACAGAAAUGUAGCCGAUAGUAUGUAUCUUAACUUUUAGUUUAUAAUGACUGUAUUAAAAUGAUAUUACAGUUUUAAGUUUUUCAAACAAAUAGUGAAUGGUUGUGCAAAAUAAGACACUGAAAUAUUUUUUAAAGAAUUAAAAUCACAAAUGUUGAAUGAGAAAAAUAGUUUCUGAGAAUUUCUUUGCUAAAUCAGGGCAAUUUGGUUUAUUGCCAAACUGAUUAAGGAGGGGCUGAUUUCAUAAGCUAUAAUAUCUGUACUUUUAUGUCAUCUCUGAUAUAACAGUAUAUAAUGUAUUUAAGACUGCAGAUCAUCAUUAAACCACAUAAUGAUUGUUACACAGAUAAAAUAAGAAGCUUAAUUUGUAGCUAAAGACUGUAUCUUAUUGAUUGUAUAGUUGAUGUUGUGUUGUGCAGGAGGUAAGAAAUAUCCUAAGUAAGAAACAGAAUAUUUUAAAAAAAUAUUUACAAAAUCAUAUAGUUGAGUCAAUAUCUAUAAGUGAGGCUUAAUCCAUGCAAAUAAAUUGUUUUAACAAGGGCCUGUGGCUUUAAGAAUGACACUUGAUCUAUAUGCUGUAGAAGGCUUGUAGAAGUUGUCCUCAUAUUAGUUUAUACUAUGCACACAAUAUGUCCUUAUCUAGCCUGAUGCAUGCUCUAAAACAGGAAGCAUAAAACCAAGACGACACCAGGUAUGAAUAAAUAGUAAGAGUUAGGAGCUGGAGCUGACUCCACUGUGAAUUCUCCCACUCACUUGUUCACAGGUUUCUUCCUGCAGGCUUCAGGAUGAACAAUCCUGGCUGAAAUGUUCACAGGAAACCUUUUUGUUUUGUUUUUUUUUAAUGAAUAUUUUUUAGGUACUUGCUAUUUGAAGAAACAAAGUCAAGGUGAUUUAAGGGCCAGGCAAAUAUCCCUUAAAGACCUUUGUUAUAAUAUAGCCCUUUUAUUAUAUUUGAAUAUAUGCUCAGAUGCCUGCAGAAUUUCAUGUUCCAGUCAGGGUAGAGCAGGCUAAUUUUUAAGGGACAUGUGCUUCAGUACACAAAUAGGGUAAUAAAUAAGACUAACAAGUGUGCAUUCAGGCUACAUGUAUAAGAGGGAUGUUCCUCCCCAGGAAUGGGUCAUCCACUAAUGGAAGUUGCAGUUAUUGUUUAAGCGCACUUUAUUGCUUAGCAAGCCCCAACAGACAGCACCAGCUGUUGUCUGGGGUAGAGUUGGCAACAUUUUCCCACAAAAGGCAUCUUUGUAUAUUCUGCUACAAAUCUGUGUCAGUGAGAGCAGGAAGGAGGAGAGGGGUAAGACCUACCAAACAUGUAGGUAGCGUUGUGAUAAGCCUCCACACUAACACUAACAAGCAGUGUACACUUGGGUGCUGGGAUUACAGGCAUGAUCCACCGUGCUCGGCCAAGGAUGAUUUUCUUUCAGAGUGAAAUUGAGAGCCCUAAGGCCAGGGGUGGUGGCUCAUACCUGUAAUUCCAGCACUUUGGGAGGCAGAGGAUGUUGCAUUCCUAGCACACUGGUACAGUUAUUCUUGAGAGCUACAAGCAAGAAAGAGCAUAACUGAGUCAGUGCAAGGCCACUCAGAGAACUUUCCUGUACAUAGUCCUUGCUAUGGAUAUGUUUUCUCAUUUUGCCACAAAUAAAUGAUAUGAAAAACUGAUAAUGUUCAGUUGCAGGAAUGAAACAUUAGUGUUAGAUCUUGGUGGGGGGGGUAGGUGGGGUCAAAUCAAUCACAAAAUGCUUGGAAGCUUUAGGGUCCAGUGAAGGCACCUGAGGUUCCAGGCAAUACUCCCCUUUAAGUCCAUUUCCCAUGUAAUGUUGGAUAUAAUACAGUAGUCUGCUAGCUGGUCUAUCCAGCCUCAUCGCAUAGGGAGUAAUCUUUGUAAAAUUAAAUUCAGCAAAUAUUUGUUGGCACCUGUUAUACAAACACUGUGCUUGUUGCUAUAGGGGAUACAAAUAUGAUUAGGACACAAACCCUGUUUUCAAGGAGCUUUACAGUCCAAGGGGGAAUAAGAUUGGCAUAAACAUAGCUGACAUUCAAGGCACAAGGUGCUACAGGGCUGAACAAAAUUAUCAUUUUGCUGCUCAUGAAGUUAUCAUGAUUCCCUAUUACCUUUUGGAUCAAGUGAAAAAUUCUCAUUCUUUGUAAUUUGACACCUGCUGGCUGCUUACAUUUACAUUUUACUUCUAUCCAACAAACCUCUACUCUGCCCCUGUCAUCUGCCUAAUACUCUCAUGGACACAGCCAUGCAGAUAUUCCUUCUUUCCUUUAUUCAUUCAUUAUUUCUGCAAAUACUAACUGCUUGUCAGAUACUGUGCUAGAUGCUCUGGGGGAAACAAAAGUGAAUCACUCACUGCCUUGAGCAACUCACUAUCCAUUGGAAGGGGAUUAAACAAAGUUUUUAAGGAACAGUGUUUUGUAACAGAAUGCACAAAGUGCUGAGGGAGGAGAGAGGAGCUGAAGGCCUCACAGAGGAAGUGAAUCCUGCCAGAAGUUGGUUAGGUGUUCACCCGGGGGGAAGAGGGAGUGGGGGCCAUUACAGGCACAGCAGUGUGUCCCAGUUCAUGGAGGCAGAGCAGAAUGUGGCUCAAUCAGAGUGCUGACGGCAGGAAUACAGGAUGGGAACUAGUGGGCAAAAAUAACAUUGGGAAACAGAGCCAGAUACCAUGGGCCUUGACCCUAUGCUAAGGAAGUUGUUCUUUAUCUUUUGUGCCAGGCGAUUCCAUUUGAAGUUCAAACAGAGAUGUGAACAGAUGUAGGUCUUAGAAUGCUCUAGCAGCAAUGUGGAGUAUUUGAGAGAUAUUGGAGGCAGACAGCCUCAGGAUUUCCAUAAGUUACCCGAACCACUCUCCACUAUGUAGUUAUGCAUUUUUUUUUAGAAUUAUCAUCAUAAGUUCUUUCUUAUGGGUGUGUCUUGUUUCUCUAGCUACCUGAACCUGAUUAGGUUGUAUCUUCCAUAUCUUUUAGCUUUUAAAGUUCCUUACCAGUCCUACUCCUGAAGGAGAAGCCGGUAGGCUAAAUAAGUGCCUGUGAAUAUACAUAGGGUUGAAUUUGGCAGUGUGGCUUUUUUCUAGCAGGGCCUGGGUGCUCUUUCACACACACUCAGGAAUCAUCUGAUUUGUUUUUUCCUUUGUUUGCUAUUUCAUGUCCAUCAAAUUAUUGGAAUUUUAUUUGAGUUAAAAUGAAUCAAUAAGGAUUGGUCUCUGUUUUACUGUAACGCCUUUAAUGUCAUUUCACCUGCGAGACACUCAUUUCUCGUCUCAGCCUAGUGAAAAUUGCACAUUUACCCUCAACAUGACAUUGUCUUGGCACGUUUUAAAGGUGAACCUGAAAGUUUAAGGGCAUCUAAAUAUGCCGUGCUCGCUUCAGUAUCCAGUUGGCGAGGUUCAAUAGAAAACAAAUCAAUUGUCAUCCCCUGUUGAAAAUAAGCACACAAAGAUCUAGCUUAAAAAAAACGAACAUUGUAAAAUGAAUUCAUACGCAGUAGAAGGUACCCUGAGUGUUAGAUACAGUAUCUCACUUAAUUCUUCACCACCAUCCUAUUUAAUUAAUUUGCCUGAAGUCCUACAGCUGGAAAGUGGCAGAGCUGAGUUUCCUAGUGGUCUUACUCCCAGUGCCAGUGCUCUUAGAGUAAAAUCUUGGGCAAUUAUACAGUUUGUCUCAUUGGCUCACAUAUCUUAAACUCAGAAGAAUUCUCAAGAGACCAUCUGGUACCACUCUGGCUCUGAUUAGUUCCUCUAAUUCCAGUGUGCCAACAUGCAAAACGUCUGUUGCAAUGGAUCCAUUUAAAUCUUCCAUGUUAGUUCUGAAUCAGAUCCUCAAAGUUAUUUGGCAGCUGUGCAGCAGUCACCCACCCUUUGAGACCUGUUUGUCCCCAUUGCUCGUUCCUUCCACUUGCCUUCACUCCCAGUACAAGGCCUUUGGACAAGCCCUCAUUUUGUCUUUCUGGGACCGCUGACUGCAAGAGUCUUGUAUCUGUUUUCCCUGGCUUCUGUGUAUCCCCAGCCCUGCUCAUGGAGAGCUCUGUGAAGCAGUCUUUAAGGCUUUAUUUGCUUUUUAUACACUUAAGAAAGGAAGCCAGGUAUUCACGUAAUUGGUGUAUUGGAUACCUCCCCUCUCCACUAGAAUGCUCCUGAGGACAGUGCCUGUGUCUUUAGUCUUGAUCCAUAUAGUGCCUAGGCCAGCGCUUUACGUAUAGCCUGGCGCAUUAACAUUUUUAGGAACUUGAACUCUACCCUUUUUUACACUCUACCAGAUAUUAUAGUUGAUGCUAUUUCUUGUGCCAGUUAAUAAACAAUUUCUUAGAAGCAGAGAGCAUCUUUGAUACAUCUUUGUACCCCUUCACAGGGCAAGAAGUUGUAGGUAGAUACAAAAUACAGUUGAAUUUAAUUUUAAAUAAAAGUAAUGACUAUUGAGUGGAUAAAAGUGUAUACUGUUUUAGCAAUACAUUGAUUUAUGGAAAAAUUGAAUGUGAGUAUUAGUAUAUAUUUCAUUAAGCAUUCAUAUUAAAAUAGUAAUCUGUUGGCUUUUCCCAUUUUAACUAGAGCUUUGUGAAUAUGAAGCAUAUUGGUGGGGCACUUGGGACAUGGAAAUAUGUAUUAUUCUUAUUUUCUCAUGACUUGUUUUUACUUAUAUAAGCAGGUACUUAGAGGUUUUAGACAUCACAUUGUAGAAUUAAAU